UGCUUUCAACUUUAGAAGGAACAGGGCUGC
rnacentral:piRNA from 1 species